UAAGAUGGAAGCGUUUUGGGAGUCA
rnacentral:piRNA from 1 species